rnacentral:misc_RNA from 1 species
AAAGUCGUAACAAGGUUUCCGUAGGUGAACCUGCGGAAGGAUCAUUAACGAGUCUGCGGAUCUACUCUCUGAGUGGUCUGCUCACCUCAUCUAUCUUGUGUUAUUUCUUGUCUUUGUUGCUUUGGCAGUUCUGCUUGCAGAAGUGUCAGGGGACAUGCAAAUCCAUAUGUAGUUCCUUUGAAAGAGGGGAGAGAAGUCGGUCAGAACGUUAUAUCUAAUUGUAUAUACAAAACUUUCAACAACGGAUCUCUUGGUUCUG